rnacentral:rRNA from 1 species
AAACAUUACGCGAGCUACCAUGCAGUCGACGGUGAAGAGAGCUUGCUCUUUGGAUCAGUGGCGAACGGGUGAGUAACACGUGAGCAAUCUGCCCCUGACUCUGGGAUAACAGUUGGAAACAGCUGCUAAUACCGGAUACGAGCUUCGAAGGCAUCUUCAGAAGCUGGAAAGAACUUCGGUCAGGGAUGAGCUCGCGGCCUAUCAGCUAGUUGGUGAGGUAAUGGCUCACCAAGGCGUCGACGGGUAGCCGGCCUGAGAGGGUGACCGGCCACACUGGGACUGAGACACGGCCCAGACUCCUACGGGAGGCAGCAGUGGGGAAUAUUGCACAAUGGGCGCAAGCCUGAUGCAGCAACGCCGCGUGAGGGACGACGGCCUUCGGGUUGUAAACCUCUUUUAGCAGGGAAGAAGCGAAAGUGACGGUACCUGCAGAAAAAGCGCCGGCUAACUACGUGCCAGCAGCCGCGGUAAUACGUAGGGCGCAAGCGUUAUCCGGAAUUAUUGGGCGUAAAGAGCUCGUAGGCGGUUUGUCGCGUCUGCUGUGAAAACUGGAGGCUCAACCUCCAGCCUGCAGUGGGUACGGGCAGACUAGAGUGCGGUAGGGGAGAUUGGAAUUCCUGGUGUAGCGGUGGAAUGCGCAGAUAUCAGGAGGAACACCGAUGGCGAAGGCAGAUCUCUGGGCCGUAACUGACGCUGAGGAGCGAAAGGGUGGGGGAGCAAACAGGCUUAGAUACCCUGGUAGUCCACCCCGUAAACGUUGGGAACUAGUUGUGGGGUCCAUUCCACGGAUUCCGUGACGCAGCUAACGCAUUAAGUUCCCCGCCUGGGGAGUACGGCCGCAAGGCUAAAACUCAAAGGAAUUGACGGGGACCCGCACAAGCGGCGGAGCAUGCGGAUUAAUUCGAUGCAACGCGAAGAACCUUACCAAGGCUUGACAUAUACGAGAACGGGCCAGAAUGGUCACUCUUUGGACACUCGUAAACAGUGGUGCAUGUUGUCGUCAGCUCGUGUCGUGAGAUGUUGGGUUAGUCCCGCACGAGCGCACCCUCGUCUAUGUGCAGCACGUAUGUGGGACUCAUGGCAUACUGCGGGUCACUCGAAGAAGGUGGGGAUGACGUCAUCAUCAUGGCCGUAUGUCUGGACUUCAGCAUGCUACAUGCCGUACAAAGGCCUGCCAUUACCGCAGUGA